UCCCUGGUGGUCUAGCGGCUAAGGAUCCAGUGCUCUCAUUGCUGCAGCCUGGGUUUGAUUCCCACACAGAGAA